GACGAACGCUGGCGGCGUGGAUUAGGCAUGCAAGUCGAACGGUAUCAUCCUUUCGGGGGUGGGAGAGUGGCGAACUGGUGAGUAACACGUAGGUUAUCUACCCUCAAGACGGGGACAACCCAGGGAAACUUGGGCUAAUACCGGAUGUGAGCAACUUUUAGUUGUUUGAAAGGUGGCGUAAGCUGUCGCUUGGGGGAUGAGCCUGCGUCCUAUUAGUUAGUUGGUGAGGUAACGGCUCACCUAGGCAAUGAUAGGUAGGCGGCCUUAACGGGUGGUCGCCCACACUGGGAUUGAGAUACGGCCCAGACUCCUACGGGAGGCAGCAGUCGAGAAUAGUCUACAAUGGUCGGAAGACUGAUAGUGCGACGCCGCGUGAACGAUGAAUCCCUUCGGGUGUAAAGUUCUUUUAUAUGUGAGCAGUGCUUCUUUAUAUUAACAAGUAUGGGGAGAGAGAUAUUAGCAUAUGAAUAAAGCAAACGGCUAACUACCGUCGCCACGCAGCCGCGGUAAGUAUA
rnacentral:rRNA from 1 species